GAUGAACGCUGGCGGCGUGCUUAACACAUGCAAGUCGAACGAAGCACUUUAUUUGAUUUCCUUCGGGACUGAUUAUUUUGUGACUGAGUGGCGGACGGGUGAGUAACGCGUGGGUAACCUGCCUUGUACAGGGGGAUAACAGUUGGAAACGGCUGCUAAUACUGCAUAAGCGCACAGCAUCGCAUGAUGCAGUGUGAAAAACUCCGGUGGUAUAAGAUGGACCCGCGUUGGAUUAGCUAGUUGGUGAGGUAACGGCCCACCAAGGCGACGAUCCAUAGCCGACCUGAGAGGGUGACCGGCCACAUUGGGACUGAGACACGGCCCAAACUCCUACGGGAGGCAGCAGUGGGGAAUAUUGCACAAUGGGCGAAAGCCUGAUGCAGCGACGCCGCGUGAGCGAAGAAGUAUUUCGGUAUGUAAAGCGCUAUCAGCAGGGAAGAUAAGGACGUUACCUGACUAAGAAGCACCGGCUAAAUACGU
rnacentral:rRNA from 1 species